GUUGAUGGAGAACUUGAAGGGGGUGUGUCUGUUACAGAGGACCUAGCUCGGCGCAUUUUUGAGAUUUCUAGGAGACUACGUGCAAGCAUUUCUCAGGUUUCCAAGGGCCUACCUGUAAUCGUUUGUAAGGAUGUUGGGGAUAAAGUCAAAGGUGCUC